rnacentral:hammerhead_ribozyme from 1 species
AUCAGGAUGAUGAGUCCCAAAUAGGACGAAAUGUGCAUCCUGGAU